rnacentral:rRNA from 1 species
UACGUUGAUGCAAGCUUUGACACUGAUCCGGACGAUUCUAAAUCGCAAACAGGAUACGUGUUUACAUUGAACGGUGGAGGUGUCAGUUGGUGCAGUUCUAAACAAAGCGUCGUGGCGGGAUCUACAUGUGAAGCAGAGUACAUAGCUGCUUCAGAAGCAGCAAAUGAAGGAGUCUGGAUGAUGGAGUUCAUAUCCGAUCUAGGUGUCAUACCUAGUGCAUCGGGUCCAAUGAAAAUCUUUUGUGACAAUACUGGAGCAAUAGCCUUGGCGAAGGAAUCCAGAUUUCACAAGAGAACCAAGCACAUCAAGAGAUGCUUCAAUUCCAUCUGGGAUCUAGUCCAGGUGGGAGACAUAGAG